AAUAAAAAUAAUAAAUCAAUAAAAAAGAAAAGAAAAAAACAUAAAAACACAACUCCAUCGCCUGCACCUUCGCGGCCACGUCCCACGCCCUACAGAUUCGAACCUAUCGUAACCGCCAUGCCACACAGCUAAGGAGCCCACCUAGUCGGAUAUGCAGUUAUAGAGAGAUGCAGAAAUUGGGUGACUUCAAGCUUCCAGCGUUCUUCAAUUACCCGCCAUACUUUAGCUUGCAACCAGUGAGAGACACUAGAGAGAAGCAGGUACAGCUUUGGAAGGAACUUAUUCUUGAUUACUGUAGAACUCAAAAAAAAUUUGUGAUUGGACUGGAAGAA